UCACAUGGAUAUUCGGCUUUCGCAUGCUGACAAAGUGCACCCCGAUGAGCUAGAUGAGGAAUUCGACACUUUCCCAACUACACGACCAGCUGAUAUUGUAAGGAUGAGAUAUGAUAGGCUGAGAAGUGUUGCAGGCAGAGUACAGACAGUGGUGGGGGAUUUGGCCAGCCAAGGGGAAAGAGCUCAAGCAAUUCUGAGCUGGAGAGACCCAAGGGCUACAGCCAUCUUCAUAAUCUUUUCUUUGAUCUGGGCUGUCUUCAUUUACAUUACUCCGUUCCAGGUUGUGGCUGUACUGGUUGGACUCUACUUGCUGCGACAUCCCAGAUUCAGGAGCAAGAUGCCCUCAGCACCUGUCAACUUCUUCAGGAGAUUGCCAUCCAAAUCAGAUCAGCUACUGUGAGCUGGAAAUUAGUCAAUAAGCCAUUCAUUUGCUUAAUUAUUGUCAAGGAAGAGUGAAUAAGUAAAUAAAUAUCCGUCAAUAUCAUAGGAGCAGAAGACAGAAAAAGCAAGUUACAAUUCCUGCUUCCAUCCUGCACCAACCUGCAAGAGAAUAUCACUUUAGCUAAUUAUGCAUAUCCUACCUUUCUGAAUCUUUUGUAUGGAACCCCAACAUUCUUUUUGGUUCUUUAUUCCAUAUUCUGUAAUAUUGCUGAGCAAUUAUAUAGUGCAUUUUAAGAAAUAUAUAGGCAGUAGCGGCCAGAAGGUCGGCUGAAGAAGCAAUGGAUGUGUAAACUGUAAAAUGUGCAUAAGCACUAAAUAUGUAAGAACAAGGUGCAGUGUUUGUUUAGCUAAAAUAAUCACUGCAGGGGAAGCAGAAAGAGUAUGUGAUUCCUAAAAAGUUGCAUCGAAAGCACACCCAAGCCAGAAUAACAAAUGUUAAAGGAAAUGCAAAUUUUCAGAAUCUGUUUUACUACCAAAAUUUCAUUGCAUGUUACCCCUUCCCCCCAAAAAUGGAUAAGUAAAAUACAAAAUAUACAGUUCACUUGGAUCAAAUAGUCCAAAAACAAAUAUGUAUUAGUAGAGCUGCUAUUGUCAAUAAGCUGACAAGCAUUCCUCCGACAAGAGCUCUAUCGACAAUGCUCGACAUACUCGAGUUUCCUCUGGUCCAUUCUUGCUUUUUCAUAGAUCCCAAGGCAAGCCCAUUAUCUACCCUUUUGUGCAUUUGAUUUUUCUGCUUCCUUAAUAACCACCCAAUCAGAUUUCUUCUGUUUCGACCAUCCAGUAGCAUAUUAUUCUGUGGAAUGGCACUUUCUUCCAAAGCAUUCUGUCCUCCACAGCUCUCUGGUCCACAAUCACAAAGCACUGGUUCCUUUGAACAUGCACAAGUUUCACAUGGGUCAGAGCUGGGAGGAUAUCUGUAGUCACCAGGCAAGUGUUCAGAGGAAACUGCUUUUCCAUCCAUUGGGUUGAGAGUCUGAAUCACUUCUCCAAAAACAGACCACCUUCCGACAGAUGUUAUCUUAACAAUAGCUGAAGUACCCAGCAUUCCUUUCAGAGCAACAACAAGCGCCUGCACGUAUGCUUUUGUGUGGUCAACCUUUGCACAGAAGGAAUACGCUGUUAGAAAUAGAUAAGGGGUUUCUUAAAAAAGCUCUUCUGUAUUGUCAUAUAAAAUUAUAAGGAAAUCAACAUAAUUCAAAAUCAUAAAACCAAAUUCUUCCUCCACUCCAUUUCUGUUGAUGAUCGAGAAAAAAAAGUUUCAGGGGGAAUCCUCUCAUAAAUGGGACAUAAUAUUUAGUUAACUCCAUGAAGGAGAAAAAUGGGAUGCUCAUUUUUCAUGCAGUGUAUACCAAUUGAUUUAUGGCAUACCAAGUAGUUUUAUUCUACUGGACAACAAACUGAAAUCAGCAACUUAACCUCAAAAUCACAUGUCAUAACAGAAUCUAAAGGCAAAGAGUUUAGUUUAGAUAGAAGACAAACUAGGUGAAUUCCAUCAGUUGCUAUUUCAGUUAUCCAUAUUCUUUCCACUCUACCCUCCAUUCCACUGUAUGGAGUGAAAGCUUCAAAAACAGAAGUCAAUUCAUGGCUCCUUCUCUUCGCUAUGUUACUCGAGACUUUUUUCAUCCUGGCAGCAGGUGUCCCUGGUCUAGGAUAGAACUGUCAUAUAUGAACUUGAGGGAAUCUGUACUCAUUAACAAGGCUAACGGUUUGAGCAGAAUCAUCAUCUAUUUCACCUUCUUAAAAUGCAAAUGUCCAUGGAAGGAUUCUACAUCACUUGAGUUAGCAAUUUGCAAAUCAGUGAUGUGAAAACUUAAUUAAUAUCCAGAGAGUAGAGAGACCAUGAAGUUGGAAAUUGCAUCCACAAAUUAACCUGGGAAUCCACAUGUUAUGUCAGUAGCAAUUUGCAUCCCUGGAACUAGUUCAGUCAAGGUAUCUACAACAGUCCUGAACUCACUCACAUUGUAUUCUCAAUUCAUUGCCUGAGACAAAAAGAGCAGUCAUACAGUUAAGAUCAUAAUUUUAUGGGUUUCCUUGAGCAGAACAUUAAGUAAAUUGUACAUUUGUAAUAUGAAUCAUUACAAGGGCAUUUCUUUAGGGAGGGGAAUGACGUAAAGGAAGGACAAGUUUACAACUGCAUUUGGACUUGCACUCAAAACAGAAUCACUCCCAGAUUGCACAGGCGCAUGAAGAAAAGAGUUUUACACAGGUGACACAAAACUUCUGCUAUCCCUCUCAAGUGCUCGAGAAUAAAAGGAGGAUUUGUCAUCCCAAUUCGAAGCAUGAUGCUUGCAUCAGCAGGAAGUUCACCAACAAUGGCAUUGAAUAAAGUUGGAAGGUCAACCCCAAUGUCACGACCUGCAAAAUUUCAGCAAACCCAAAUUGUGCAAGGGCUUAUUUUCGUAUAAUCAUCAUUGAGAACUGUUUUAUGAGUUCUGAAAGAAGUUUCUUCUGUCAAACACAGGAUGACAUGAAAAUGGUGAAUUCACUAUCAUUCUUGUUUUCCUAUCUUGAAAGGUGUUAAUUUACUUAUAACAGUUUACAUAUAUGUUACUGUUUGUUUAUCUGUAUCAAAAGAACAGUUUGUUGUAAAAAAGAGCCAUUGUUCUCUGUCAGUGAAUCAUGCAUAAAAAGAAACAAAAUCUUUUUUUUUUCCAUGUAAGUAGGUUAUUCAUGAAAUCUAGAGUAAGAGCUCCAAGAUUUUUCUUAACAGAACCUGUAGAAACAACGUUUCUUCAAAGUAACUUCAGAUCAGCAAAAUGCAAACACUACAAUUCAAAGGUCUUAAAAAAAAACUACCAUAUGCUCCAGUAUCUUCACUGCUCAACCAUAUUUCUUUUACUCCAUCAGCUAUAACUGUUCUUACACGACCCACAAGGCUGUCAACAGUAUAGCUCCCCAGAUGACCACGGGCAUGCUUUGUCUUGCAAUAAGUGCAAGCACCCAAACAACCAACAUUAAUUGGAAGAAUCUCAACAAACUUGUUCUUACGAACCUUAGGCAAGUCUAGCGCAGGCAAUGUCUUGCGGUUCAAAAGCCGCACCUCAUGACCUUUUAGAGUCUCUUCCACAACUUCAACUACACGGUCUAUUUGCUGGACACCAACUAUACUGACUCCUUCUAGUUCUUUCAAAUUUCGACUGCCUUGAGGCACACACCCAGCAACCACCAGGGGUUUUUUUGCCCUUUUGCCCUUUGUUAAUAGAGUGUCCAUUGCAGACUGACUUGGAGAUUUUACAGUGCAUGUAUUGAUCAGCCACAAGUCAGCAUCCUCGGGAAUGUCAGUUAAUGCAUAACCAAAUGAUGAAAGCUGACCAGCCAUAUAUUCACUGUCACUCUGAUUAUGUGAGCAUCCAAAAGUCUUGAUAUAUAUGGUCUGAGUGCCAGGAAUUUUGGAAGAGAAAGGGAUUUGAGAGACCUUGGAUGCAUUGAGGUUAGAUUUGUUCUUAUUCUUCCAGGGAAUAACGCCAAUGGAAUUCAGAGGCAGACGAAAUCCAGGAGGAACACCACCUCCACUACCAAUCAAUAAAUCUUCUAUGUCUUCCAUUUUGCCCGAGUUUCAAACUUGAAAGCUGCAAGAAGAGGACAGCGAGAAGCUACAGUUACAGAGAAAGAGAGAGAGAGAGAG
rnacentral:misc_RNA from 1 species